rnacentral:rRNA from 1 species
AGAUUGAACGCUGGCGGCAGGCCUAACACAUGCAAGUCGAGCGGCAGCACGGGUACUUGUACCUGGUGGCGAGCGGCGGACGGGUGAGUAAUGCCUAGGAAUCUGCCUGGUAGUGGGGGAUAACGCUCGGAAACGGACGCUAAUACCGCAUACGUCCUACGGGAGAAAGCAGGGGACCUUCGGGCCUUGCGCUAUCAGAUGAGCCUAGGUCGGAUUAGCUAGUUGGUGAGGUAAUGGCUCACCAAGGCGACGAUCCGUAACUGGUCUGAGAGGAUGAUCAGUCACACUGGAACUGAGACACGGUCCAGACUCCUACGGGGAGCAGCAGUGGGGAAUA